rnacentral:rRNA from 1 species
UACGGGGGGAGCAAGCGUUGUUCGGAUUUACUGGGCGUAAAGCGCACGUAGGCGGUCCGCUAAGUCGGGUGUGAAAUCCCUCGGCUUAACCGAGGAAGUGCAUUCGAAACUGGCGGGCUUGAGUACUGAAGAGGGUCGCGGAAUUCCCGGUGUAGAGGUGAAAUUCGUAGAUAUCGGGAGGAACACCAGUGGCGAAGGCGGCUUUCUGGUCUGAUACUGACGCUGAGGCGCGAAAGCGUGGGGAGCGAACCGG